rnacentral:rRNA from 1 species
CCCCUAGAUGUUCUGGGCCGCACGCGCGCUACACUGAACAGUUCAACAAGUCUUAACCUUGGCCGAUAGGUCUGGGUAAUCUUUGAACGCUGUUCGUGAUUGGGAUAGACCUUUGCAAUUAUGGGUCUUCAACGAGGAAUUCCUAGUAAAUGCGAGUCAUCAUCUCGCGUUGAUUACGUCCCUGCCCUUUGUACACACCGCCCGUCGCACCUACCGAUUGAAUGGUCCGGUGAAGCCUCGGGAUUGCGAAUGCUUCGUGCGGACGCGAGAACUUGGCUAAACCUUACCAUUUAGAGGAAGGUGAAGUCGUAACA